AGGAGUGUGUGUGUGCUCGUAUGUGAACGUCCAUGCCAUGGUGCAUGUGUGGAGACCAGAACUGUGGGUUCUAAGGGUUGACUCCGGCAGUCAGGCUUGCAUGGCAUGUUCUUUUUACUGGCUAGGCCAUCUCGCCAGUCCCAUACAUCAGGUUCACUUGUCCUAAAUAUCGGCUCUUCAGCCAACCAUUCUGACUAUUGUAACAAAAUUCUAUAGGCUGUGUAGUUUGUAAAUGGCAUGUACAGAUCUUUCAUAUUCUGAAGGCUGGAAGCUCAAGGUCCAGGCAUUAGAAAACUCACUUCCUGGUUCAGAGGACCCCGUUGGUGUGUCCUCACAUAUGGGAAAUUUGAGGGUCUCUCCGAGGCUCCUUUUGUAAAAAGAGGGCUCUGCCCUCAUGACCUCAUCGCUCAGUAUCAUUGUGCUAGGGCGCGGUCUCAAUGUGCAAAGACUGGGGCACACAUCAGAUUCUCCACGUUAGAGUUUGCUAGUGCUUUAAUCUGUCAUCUCUGACCAGAGGCUGAGAGCUUGGGAAGGAAAAGAGAAAGGCAGGGUUAAGGGCCAGCCUUUGCAGAGUCCCAGGAGCCAGACAUCAGGUCAGGUCGGAAAUCUGCCGAGUGCUGGAGGGUGGCUGUCUGGGGUGAACUUGGUCUUAAGCACUGCAGCUCAGGAGAGGUCUUUGCUUUACUCCUAGAUGAGGGGUCCUCCACCUAAGCAUGUGUGACUCUUGAGUUGCCUGACUUUGCCAUUUUCUCCCCUCCCUCCACCUUUUCUUUGUAAAUUUUUGUUGUUGUUUUUGCUUUUCUGUUUUGUCUUGAUUUUCUAAGACAGGGAUUCUCUGUGUGUAGCUCUGGCUGUCCUGGAUCUUGCUCUGUAGACCAGGCUGGCCUCAAACUCACAAUAUAUAAUAUACUCUGGCCAAGUCCUCCCACACAUUCCUUUUCUUCCCCUUCCUGUUGCUUCUCCCAAACAGUGUUGCUCCCAUUUCCAUGUCACAUAUGUGUACAUGAACCCACAGAUCUAUACACAGACUUAGACCCACAAGUGUGAUAUUGGCCUUUUUUAAGUCCGGUUUGAUUUGCUUAAUGGGACAAUCUCUAAUCGCAUCCAUUUUUCUGAAAAAUGAUACAAUUAGUGAUUUAGGGCUGAAUAAAAUUCCAUUGUGAAUAUAAACCACCUUUUUUCUUGUUUUUAAUGAUUUACUUAUUUUUAUUUCAUGUUCAUUGGCAUUUUGUCUGCAUGAGGGCAUCAAGUCUCCUGGAAGAGGAAUUACAGAUGGUGGUUUGGAACUGACGGCAGGAAGAAGCAGAACGUACGUCUCAGAGUGUGGCCUCUUUUAUAGCAAGGAUGAGGACGGUGCUAACAGGAGUCUGAGUGUGCUCAAGAAGCCUGCCCGCAGCUCCCUUCAUAAAAAAGGCGGACUCCUGGCAAAGGCUUAUCUUUCCAGAGAGUGUGUCCAAACCCUGGCUAACAUGGGCUGACUUCAGUACCAGAGUUGGAUUACUCCAGAGCAGGAAAUAAUACCAGCCAUCAGGAAACUUUGAGGUUGAUAGAAAUGCAUACAUGAAGGUGCUCUGAGGCCGUCCAUUCCCGCUGAGAGAUGAGACCCACAAGAAAAAUGAAGCGCCAAGAGCUACAUGGAUGGGAUAUUCACCAAGUGCCAGCCGCUGCUCCUAGCCUUCCAUAUGUGUCAGCUGACUUCAUCUUCAGAAAACACCAUGAUGUAGUAAAUGUUAAUGUUUCCAUUCGACAGGUAAGAAAGAGGAUGCCAAAUCCGGUCAAGGCACUUGUCUUAAUCAUCAUAAACAAAAACAGAUUUGAUUGGCCAAUACUUAAGCCCAAGCAGUAGGCAGCAGAGACUUCCUAGCUUCCCAUGGCAUCUCUAGCACAAGUGUUUAGCACAGCUUCUGGGGAGCGAGUCAUGAAGUGAGGUAACCACAGUUAGUUGAUUAGCAUACUGGAAGAGGGGCAUGCUGGGAAGGAGUGAAGCAGGAGGCAAAGGAUCUCCUGGUUGUAGGAGAUGCACAGGCGAUAGCAGAAACAGCACAAGAACACAGCUUUCAGACCACCCCAAAGCCGUGGGAUGGGAUUUCCUCUUCCUUCUCCAGGUUUCAUACAGUGGGAUGAUGGAGGGCCAGCCUCUGCUCCUGACCAUAACCCCCAACUCCAGCGUUUCACUGUGCACAGCUGCUCUGGCCUGUCCCUCCCAAGUUCCUAGAUUAAUCAAAGAAGGAAUCUGUGGGUAGAGGUGAUGUCUUCGAAUCUGUGGUAGUUUGAAUAUGAUUGACCCCCAUAAUCCCAUAGGGAAUGGCACUAUUCAGAGGUGUGGCUUUGUUGGAGUGGGUGAGUGUGUCACUGGGGGGGUGCGGGAUUUGGGGUUUCCUGUGUUCAGGAUGCUGCGCAGUACCUCAGUUUACUUCCUGUUGUGUACAAGACAUAAGAACUCUCAGCUCAGGCACCAUGUCAGCCUGCAUGUCGCCAUGCUCCCCACCGUGAUGAUAAUGACUGAACCUCUGAACUGUGAGCAAUUCACCCCAAUUAAAUGUUUUCCUUAUAAGAGUUGCUGUAGUCAUGGUGUCUCUCCCCAGCAAUAAAAACCCUAAGACAGCAUCGGAGGCAGCAAGGGGGCUUCAGGGAAAAAGUGGCAGUUGAACCAGAGAAGGGAAGGUCACUGAGGACAGCAUUUUUGAGAAUGAUUCUGCCAAAUGGGAAAGGCUCACUGACUUGGGGGAGGGAAGUGAAACUGUUUGGUUCUACCUGCUAUGUGGACAUUUAGAUAAAGUGUCUUCCUGACUCUCAUGUGUCCUUGUGCCUAGCGCAGCACGAGAGCUCACAUCAACACCUGAUAGAAAGGAGCUUAAAUGAGCAAGUUCUGAGGCAGAGGCAGACACCCAAGCUGGGCCCGAGACUGUUUUGGUUGUCACUGCUGAGACUAGGGCCUCUCCUCAUGUGAGUACCGGAGGGCCAGAUCACACCGGCAGGCGUGCUUGGACACACCAGUACUCGUAGACACACCGAGAGUCCAAUAGCACCCCGGUGGCCACUCACCUGCUGUUUUAUCCCAUUAGCAUUAGAGGCACAAACAGUCCUGCCCUGCCUUGGGAAUGUGCUAGCUCUGCUUGGUGCAAGUGCAAUGUACCUUGUCUUUGGCUAGGGCUGUUUUGAGCACUUAACUUUUCCUCCCCUUCUCCAUGGAGAAGACUCGGGUAUUCUCUACAAGUGUUUCCUUUUCCAGAACCGACGAUCUGGGCUGGUCCUCAAACACACCUUCCUGAAACACAGAGGAGGCAGCAGGCUGGGAACACAACCAGGAGAGACAAGGCUCUUCCUGCCAUGGACGGAAACCUUUGAUGUGGACAAGGUCAGCAGAAGCUAGCAUGAGGCACGCUGUGGUGUGGGGCUGAGCACAGCCAGGACCCGACAUGGCCCUUUGAGCCACACCUGUGGUGGGGAAACAGCAGUUCCUCGUCACCAUCCGACUGCUUGACUCUCAGCUGGUCAGCUGUUGUUCUCAGUGCCCACAUUGUCUAGGAAGAAGAAACAAAUCAGAAUGAAGAGCUGGAGAGAAACCUUAGAGGUUUUUGACUCUUACACACUCGUAAACAGGAAAAGGACAGUUGGACCAGUUAUUCAUCCAGUCAGGAUUGGUGUCAGGGCCAGGAAUUCUUCGAGGAAAAAGGUGGUCAUGAAACUGAUGGCAGAUGGAAGGCAGAGAGGCUUCAGGGGAAAAGACAGGUAGCUGGUGAGAUGGUUCCACAGAGCCAGGAAAAUAAAGUCAAAGAAGGACAGAGGGAGAACUAGGGAGGAGGGGAUAUGAGGAAGUCAAGCCCUGUGGUCACUGGUGAUCCAGACAUUGACUCAAAGCUACGUCAGGCCCUCCUAGUUCUGCACUACCCAACCCAACUCCACCUUACUCUGCUGGUGCUGGGAAAGGGGGACCCAGCUGGCUCAGCUGUAAGGGUGUGGCUGGUCCAGCUCAAGGACCUGUGACCAGAUUUUCUGAUCCUUAGUGUCGACUAGGCAUAAGCUUCACCCAACUGAAUAACACUCCCUCCUUCCUUCAGCCCUUCCUCAGCUGUGCAAAGGCUGAGCCUUUCACAGAGUCAUUAACACCUGUGGGGAAAAACAAAGCAAACAAACAAAAAACAAGAUGGCGGACCAGGGACCAGGAAGAGGGAGACUGGCUGGUUGGAACCUUCUGGAAGAUGGAAAUGUUCUAUAUCAUGAUUAAAAUUAAACAACUGUAUACUUUA